AGCGAACGUUAGCGGCGGGCCUAACACAUGCAAGUCGAACGCGAAAGGUCUUCGGACUGAGUAGAGUGGCGCACGGGUGAGUAACACGUAGGUAAUCUACCCUUUGGCGGGGGAUAACGUUCCGAAAGGAGCGCUAAUACCGCAUAAGACCACGGAGUCUCCGGACGCUGUGGGAAAAGGUGGCCUCUUCUUGAAAGCUACCACCGAAGGAUGAGCCUGCGUCCCAUCAGCUAGUUGGUAAGGUAAUGGCUUACCAAGGCGAAGACGGGUAGCUGGUUUGAGAGAAUGAUCAGCCACACUGGCACUGGAACACGGGCCAGACUCCUACGGGAGGCAGCAGUGAGGAAUAUUGGGCAAUGGGCGAAAGCCUGACCCAGCCACGCCGCGUGAGUGAUGAAGGCCCUCGGGUCGUAAAGCUCUGUGGAGAGGGACGAAACCCUGGUUUCAAAUAGGCUCCAGGCUUGACGGUACCUCUUUAGCAAGCACCGGCUAACUCUGUGCCAGCAGCCG
rnacentral:rRNA from 1 species